GUGGUUGUAGCUCAGUGGUAGAGCACUUGCCUAGCAUGUGUGAGUCUCUGGGUUCAAUCCCCAGCACCACG
rnacentral:tRNA from 1 species